rnacentral:tRNA from 1 species
AAAGACAUAGUUUAUAUCGCCCCAAAACAUUAAGUUGUCAACUUAAAAAAAUUAUCUUUA